UACGAAGGGGCUAGCGUUGCUCGGAAUCACUGGGCGUAAAGCGCACGUAGGCGGAUUGCUAAGUCAGGGUGAAAUCCUGGAGCUCAACUCCAGAACUGCCUUUGAUACUGGCGAUCUUGAGUCCGGGAGAGGUGAGUGGAACUGCGAGUGUAGAGGUGAAAUUCGUAGAUAUUCGCAAGAACACCAGUGGCGAAGGCGGCUCACUGGCCCGGUACUGACGCUGAGGUG
rnacentral:rRNA from 1 species